GAUGAACGCUAGCUACAGGCUUAACACAUGCAAGUCGAGGGGCAUCAGGAAGAAAGCUUGCUUUCUUUGCUGGCGACCGGCGCACGGGUGAGUAACACGUAUCCAACUUGCCCUUUACUCGGGGAUAGCCUUUCGAAAGAAAGAUUAAUACCCGAUGGCAUAAUGAUUCCGCAUGGUUUCAUUAUUAAAGGAUUCCGGUAAAGGAUGGGGAUGCGUUCCAUUAGGUUGUUGGUGAGGUAACGGCUCACCAAGCCUUCGAUGGAUAGGGGUUCUGAGAGGAAGGUCCCCCACAUUGGAACUGAGACACGGUCCAAACUCCUACGGGAGGCAGCAGUGAGGAAUAUUGGUCAAUGGGCGCUAGCCUGAACCAGCCAAGUAGCGUGAAGGAUGAAGGCUCUAUGGGUCGUAAACUUCUUUUAUAUAAGAAUAAAGUGCAGUAUGUAUACUGUUUUGUAUGUAUUAUAUGAAUAAGGAUCGGCUAACUCCGUGCCAGCAGCCGCGGUAAUACGGAGGAUCCGAGCGUUAUCCGGAUUUAUUGGGUUUAAAGGGAGCGUAGGUGGACUGGUAAGUCAGUUGUGAAAGUUUGCGGCUCAACCGUAAAAUUGCAGUUGAUACUGUCAGUCUUGAGUACAGUAGAGGUGGGCGGAAUUCGUGGUGUAGCGGUGAAAUGCUUAGAUAUCACGAAGAACUCCGAUUGCGAAGGCAGCUCACUGGACUGCAACUGACACUGAUGCUCGAAAGUGUGGGUAUCAAACAGGAUUAGAUACCCUGGUAGUCCACACAGUAAACGAUGAAUACUCGCUGUUUGCGAUAUACCGUAAGCGGCCAAGCGAAAGCAUUAAGUAUUCCACCUGGGGAGUACGCCGGCAACGGUGAAACUCAAAGGAAUUGACGGGGGCCCGCACAAGCGGAGGAACAUGUGGUUUAAUUCGAUGAUACGCGAGGAACCUUACCCGGGCUUAAAUUGCAGUGGAAUGAUGUGGAAACAUGUCAGUGAGCAAUCACCGCUGUGAAGGUGCUGCAUGGUUGUCGUCAGCUCGUGCCGUGAGGUGUCGGCUUAAGUGCCAUAACGAGCGCAACCCUUAUCUUUAGUUACUAACAGGUUAUGCUGAGGACUCUAGAGAGACUGCCGUCGUAAGAUGUGAGGAAGGUGGGGAUGACGUCAAAUCAGCACGGCCCUUACGUCCGGGGCUACACACGUGUUACAAUGGGGGGUACAGAAGGCAGCUAGCGGGUGACCGUAUGCUAAUCCCAAAAGCCUCUCUCAGUUCGGAUCGAAGUCUGCAACCCGACUUCGUGAAGCUGGAUUCGCUAGUAAUCGCGCAUCAGCCACGGCGCGGUGAAUACGUUCCCGGGCCUUGUACACACCGCCCGUCAAGCCAUGGGAGCCGGGGGUACCUGAAGUACGUAACCGCAAGGAUCGUCCUAGGGUAAAACUGGUGACUGGGGCU
rnacentral:rRNA from 1 species